rnacentral:lncRNA from 1 species
AGAAUUUCUACAAAAAGCUGACUGCAGUGACAAAUAUUCUGCAAGGAACAUGGUGUGAUUCCAACAAAGAAUUGGUGUGGAGGUCGUCUCGCCAGCAAAUGGGUGCUGUCCUACGAGAACAUUCAGCGAAUCACCCACCCCGACAUUUGAGACAAAGUCCUCUGUGAAGCCUCAAGCCAGUGGACCAACACCCCACACGAAUCGGAUCCAUAUAGACGGAUAGCCAAGGAUGAAUGCCCCAGGGAGAAUUGGACAUGUGGAAAAUGAAAGGGGGCAAUCCCACAAGAGAAGGUCUGACAUAAGGAUUAUUUACUAAUCUUACCAAAGACACUGUUUAGAUAUGCGGCAAUAUUGACACAUGGGCGGAGCCAGGUGUCAACAGGGGGGUAGGAUGGUAGAACAGGUGAUAGAG